AAUGAUAUUAGAUGAUAUUUAUGUACAAAAAAAUGAUGAUCAUUGUGAACCCCGUAAUGCGUAGAAUAUUCUUAGGACCCCAAUUCGUUACGAUAUAUUGACAGAAUGAAUGUGGAAAAAUUUGAGUUUUCAAAUGUAAACCUCUUUCUACAUACAUAGAAUCCGUAUUAUUUCAGGCACUUAAUCUUGAAUUUCGUUCCAAGUAUAAUGUCGCAACCCAUUGUGCGUCGGUCUACGGCGGGAGACGGUUGCGUCGUUCCGGCGUACGCGGCAGACACUAUGUCGCCCUGCCGGCAUUCCGACGGUACAUUCAUGGUAUCGUGCCACAGCAACUCCAUUCUCGAAUGUGUAUGCGUCCACAACGCCCCAUGCUCGGUCAGCUCUUACCCAGAGGUACGUAAUUAUUGUCGUUCCCGGCCCUGGGCAGCUGUUAGCAGAUGGUGUAUUCGGACCGGCCAAAGUUCAGAUUACCUAGUCGGCGACGCUAGCUUUGGGUACUCCCAAGACCCGUUAUGAAUUACGGAUCAACGUGUCGAACAUCUACGGGUGUCUUUGGAAUGCGUAAAACUAAAGGCGAAAUGAAACUGAAUGUCGGCCUUCCAGCCGACAAACGGAAGAUGGGCCGCGUAACUAUAUGGCGCCGCACUCCCGUAACGUCGAAAGAUGGUGGACUAUGCCUGGUCAGGUCGAAGUCGGAGGAAACAAUGAUGGAGAUCUGUAUCGGUUAUAAUGUGCAAAUCGAGCGUCGGGACUGGGUGCACGGGCUGAAGCUUAAUCGAGCCAUCUAGCAUCUGGUUCCCUCCGAAGUUUCCCUCAGGAUAGCUGACACCGGCCGUUUCUCAGCGAAUCGCGUGCGAGUUUUACCUCGUAAAGAGAAUGAUUAGAGUCCUUGGCGCCGAAACAACCUUAAUCUACGGCGUCUCAAACUCAAAAUAGGAGGGGUCUCCGACUUGCUUGGAACAUGGAGUCCCGGGAAUUUGUGUCAGAGUGCCUAGUGGGACAAUUUUGUUAUGACCUGGCGCUGUGGAGUGAACCAAACGCAAACAUAAGACGCCUACGUCAAGGCUUAAGGAAUACCAUGAAGGGAAUUUGUUGCUUCAGAAUGCAGGACGAUUGACAUGGAAUUCAGAAUCCUCUAAGUAGUAUGUAAAAAUUCACCUGCCGAAGCAACUAGUCCUGAAAAUGUAUUGCACUAAAGUGUCGCGCGUGUACAAGUGGGGAGAUAGCGCUUCUCACCCUCGUGUGUGACCAUCAUUCAUGAAACUCUUACAAGUAGGAGGAUUGCUGCGGUGUGCGCAAGAGCGUCUGGGCGUGAUCCUUCCUGGAGCCGUCGUCUGUGCAGAUGUUUUGGUUGUAGUGGCAAAUACUUCAGCGAUGCCUUGGAAGACUGCAUUGGAGAAGGGAUUCGUGUUAACAGCCGUUGCACACGAGUCAGUCCAUGUCCUAAGAUGAAUCCUAUGCAAACGAGGUUUCAAAAUAUCAUGAUCAAAAAUGCUAAAAAGCACACACAUCGGGCGAAAGGCAGUCAGGUUAUUUUGGAACCAGGCAGCGGAAGCGCAUACUGUUCUGGCCCUCGUAAGAGUCGGGGUAACCCAAAAUUACAUGUAGACGUUGUCGGGAAAUCCCGGAAGAGUUUCCUUUUCUGUCUAAACUUCACGAUUUCUUCAUCCUCUAACAGUGAGAUAGCGUUUGUUACACGAAGAGUUACAUCAGACCGUUAUCUCGUAUCCUGAAAAUCCUGGAGAGGGCACGUGAAGGUGUCGCGCCGUUUCAUACACAUGCCCGCAGCAGGUUUCCAAGGUCAAGAACCACUAGUCGAUAGAUUAAUAUGGGUAAGAAAAGUUGGCAAAUUGGAUCCUUAACUUCGGAAUAAGAAUUGAAGAGCUCUUUGAGGAGCGGGACGUUUAAAGCUUGAUCGGGAAAUGGGUUUGGUUAACGUGCGCUCUGGGCGAUGCAAAGGGGGAGGCGAUGUUUAUUGCGCACUCAGAAUCCGAGCUCGGGCUAGUGUCUUGGGUCCAGAGAAUCUUCCAUGCGGCUUUGCUGUCGUGAAAUGUUUCUUCGGCCGCCAGUCAAUGCUCAGCUCAGAACUGGCACGGACUAAUAGAAUCCGACAGGCUAAUUAGAGCAAAGCAUUGUGAUGGCCUCCAAGUGUGUUGAUGCAACUUGAUUACUGCACAGUGCUCUUAAUAUCAACGUAAAGAAAUAAGAAAAAAACACGGGUAAACAGCGGGAGUAUCUAUGAUAUACUCUAUCUAUAGCGGAGUAUCUAUACUCUCCGUUCGAAGAACGAAGUAUCUAUAUUCUCGUGUCGGACUAGUAUUCUUACCAGGCUAAUACCCUGCUUCAGGCUGAAGCAGAGUCAUCUCGCAGGUGUGUGGACUCUCCUCAAUUUGACUCCAUUUGGAGUCGGGAAAGGUUAGAAGUCCUCACCUGCUGAAAGAAGGAUGCUGGGGACAGGAAGCGAGGUUGACGUACUACUUACCGUCUCCGCUUGAAAACUCUUCCAAACCCGAUCUACACGUCCAGGACGAGGGCGAAGUGGCGCCGGUUAAAACACCAAGUCGUCCCUCGGCAGCUAAGGCACCAGUCUCGUGGCUGGUCAUAUCUAACUGAGGGGGCCGAAAUACGACUCUAUAUUAGGGAUGGACUCUAUUUAGCUCC
rnacentral:rRNA from 1 species